rnacentral:rRNA from 10 species
GCUUACGGCCAUACCACCUUAGGCACGCCCGAUCUCGUCUGAUCUCGGAAGUAAGCAGGGUCGGGCCUGGUUAGUACUUGGAUGGGUGACCGCCUGGGAAUACCAGGUGCUGUAAGCA